UUAUUGCAAUUAUUCAUCUUCAUCAAGGAAUUUCUAGUAAGCGCGAGUCACCAACUCGCGUUGAUUACGUCCCUGCCGCCGGUCCUUUGCACACACCACCCAUCGCUCCUACCGAUUGAAUGGUCCGGUGCAAACAAGAGCCGAAC
rnacentral:rRNA from 1 species